ensembl:lncRNA
GUUUAAACGUCACAGGCAAGUUAGAGAUCUUCCGUACUGAGAACCAAAUUCAUCCAGCAAGUGUGUUGUUGAUGUCACUAUGAGGAAGUGAGCAGGAAGUCAGUGCUGUAUUCAUCUUUGUUACUGCCUCACUUGUGAACGUGAGAGCAAGAGUAGAGACUGAGAGAGACGGAGAAGCACGAUGGCUGAGUUCAGAUGGAUUCAAAUGUUUCUGUUCCUGAUACUGACGCUUCAGUUUAAAGCAGUGACUGGACAACAUGGCCCCACAUUCCUGAUCAGACUUGGUGAUGAGGUCACUUUGCCUUGUCAAAAUGUGACAGUUGGUCAGCCUGAGUGUAACAGAACUGACUGGAUCUUCAGAUGUUUGAAUGUUGCUGACACAGUCAGGCUGAUUCAUCUUGGUUUGAUUGAAGAAAAGCACAAAAAUACAUCAGACAGACUGAGUGUUACAGCAAACUGCUCUCUGGUCAUAAAGAACAUCACAGUUCAUGAUGCUGGUCACUACACCUGCAGACACUACACAUCACAAGACCAACAACACUGUGGAAAAUCCUGUUCUUCUCUGUCCGUCAUCAACAUGACUGAAGAUGAGAACAAUGGUACAGUCAUCUUGUCCUGCUCUGUGUUGGAGUAUGAUCCAUGUACACACACAGUACAGUGGAUCUAUGAGGGUGAAGAGAAAUUCUCAGACAUGCAGAUAUCACCACCAGGCUGCACUGCCACUGUGACAUUUACAACAUCUCACCUUAAUCAGAAGUUUUUUGAGUCAUUAAAGUGUAAUGUGAUGAAUAUGAACAAUGGGAAAGUGCAGCUGUUUCCUUUCAGCCGUCAGUCCUCAGGUGGGACAACAGGUGAGAAUAUUAACUUUAAUAACACAAUAACACAAAAUAGAAAUAUCACACCUGUUUUUGUCAUGACUGUUGUAAAGAUAACAAAGUUUGUAUUACGUGAACACACUCUUCUUUUUAAAUUUGUGUAUUUGUUCAGAUGGGGAUGAAUCAUCAGAUGGAGGUAAUGGCAAAAUAUUUCUUUCUGUCCAUCUCUUUGUCUUAUCAUUCAUUUUUUACCUUGCUCAGUAACUCUCAGUGUGUUUCAGUCUCUUGCUACAAUUUGUUGCUUUCAGCUCAUCAUAACUGCACCAGUGACCACAUUAACAUUAUCAUUUUGUUUUACAGGUUCAUCAUUGCUGUAUAUUAUUGUUCUUGCAUGUUUAGUAGCACUCUUAAUUAUUGUAGCAUUCGUCAUAUGGAAGAAAAUGAAAGGGAAAAAAACACAAAGGGAAGACAAUGCUGUUGGUUUAAACACUGAAGGAUUAGGUUUAAACCCAGCUGAGAUUCAGUCUGAUCCAGGAAACAGUCAGGAGAUGGAUGAUCUUGAGGAUGGUGUUAACUAUGCUUCCAUCAACUACACUAAGAAGGCCAACAGUAAGGCCAGUGCUCAGGUCCACGAUGAUGAAGGUACCACUGUGACAUACAGCACAGUGAAAGCUCCCUCAGCUUCUCUUGAAGUCUCCACUGAUCCCAGCAACCUGUAUUCCACCAUCACCAAAUAAGAUACUGUAUUUAAAGAUUACAUGUUUUAAUACUGUUAUUUGGAUCUUAUAUUUAGAGUUAUAUCGUCUACUUCAACAUUACAUGGGUAUACUGAAGGGUUUAUAAAAUAAAUCUAGUUUAUUUUACUGUCUAUUUUGUUUAUUUGUUGUUUAUGGUUUUGGAAAAUAAAUAAAUUAAUGAAUAAUUAA